rnacentral:rRNA from 1 species
AUUGAACGCUGGCGGAAUGCUUUACACAUGCAAGUCGAACGGUAGAGGGGGCAACCCCUCGAGAGUGGCGAACGGGUGAGUAAUAUAUCGGAACGUGCCCAGUCGUGGGGGAUAACGUAGCGAAAGUUACGCUAAUACCGCAUACGAUCUAAGGAUGAAAGCGGGGGGUCGCAAGACCUCGCGCGAUUGGAGCGGCCGAUAUCAGAUUAGGUAGUUGGUGGGGUAAAGGCUCACCAAGCCAACGAUCUGUAGCUGGUCUGAGAGGACGACCAGCCACAAUGGAACUGAGACACGGUCCAGACUCCUACGGGAGGCAGCAGUGGGGAAUUUUGGACAAUGGACGCAAGUCUGAUCCAGCCAUUCCGCGUGCAGGAUGAAGGCCCUCGGGUUGUAAACUGCUUUUGUACGGAACGAAAAGGUCUCUCUUAAUACGGGGGGCUCAUGACGGUACCCAAAGAAUAAGCACCGGCUAACUUCGUGCCAGCCGCCGCGGUAA